GUCCCAGUUCGGAUUGUAGUCUGCAACCCGACUACAUGAAGCUGGAAUCGCUAGUAAUCGCGAAUCAGAAUGUCGCGGUGAAUACGUUCCCGGGUCUUGUACACACCGCCCGUCACACCAUGGGAGUCGGAAAUGCCCAAAGUCAGUGACCUAACCGAAAGGGAGGAGCUGCCGAAGGUGGAACCGGUAACUGGGGUGAAGUCGUAACAAGGUAAC
rnacentral:rRNA from 1 species